CCCUGCAUUCGAAAGUGAUUGUGGGCUGCCUGUGCCCUGGUCAUCGAUAGUGCAGGGAGAGGAAAUGCUGAAAGCGUUUCCCCGUGUUUGGAGGGUUCUCUCUUGUCCUUUCCAAACUCUGGAGCUUUCACACA
rnacentral:snoRNA from 1 species